GAUGAAGAACGUAGCGAAAUGCGAUACGUAGUGUGAAUUGCAGAAUUCAGUGAAUCAUCGAAUCUUUGAACGCACAUUGCGCCCGCCAGCAUUCUGGCGGGCAUGCCUGUUCGAGCGUCAUUUCAACCCUCGAGCCCCCCCGGGGGCCUCGGUGUUGGGGGACGGCACACCAGCCGCCCCCGAAAUGCAGUGGCGACCCCGCCGCAGCCUCCCCUGCGUAGUAGCACACACCUCGCACCGGAGCGCGGAGGCGGUCACGCCGUAAAACGCCCAACUUUCUUAGAGUUGACCUCGGAUCAGGUAGGAAUACCCGCUGAACUUAAGCAUAUCAAUAAGCGGAGGA
rnacentral:misc_RNA from 1 species